UGACUCCGUCUCCAUCCCCAUCUCCCUCUCAAAGCAGUCAUCUCACCACCUCGCGCUGUUGCUGUGGUUUGGUGCUGUUGUUGUGAGAGGCUGAGAGGAGUGAGCAGAGCACAGGGGGCUUUUGCAGCUUGCGUGCGUUCUUGGCCACCUGGGCGGUCGCUGUCUCUCACUCUCUCCUCUGCUUUUGCUGCCUUUUGGGCUCCUCCCUCCUUUUGGUUCCCCACCUCCUGCGCUCAACAAUGAUGGAGGCGUUGUGGGUUCGUUCUUUAAGUCUCCUAUCUCCCGUCGACAAAUCAACUUGCGCUUUUCUUUGGUUUCAGGUGUAGUUUUGUCAGCAGGUGUUGCUAGCUUUUGGGCCUUCGCUUUUUCAGCUUAUUGGAGUGCUUUCUUGGGGCGCCUCCGAAUCAGGCGGUGUUAGUGUGUACGGUUUGAGGCGAAGUUCCUCUUCCUUGUUCUUGUCUGCCAUUAGCUUCUCAGGAUUGGCUAUUUGGCUCAGUUUUCUCCAAACAGGUUCCAGGUUUCUUGCUUGGAACUGAGCCAAUUGGGAGGUUGUUCUUGGGGCCUAAAGUUGCUUCCAUUUGAGUUAGUACUCGAUAAAAAAAUGUUCUUGGGCUUGGUUCUUCGUUUCCUGCUCUGAAUCGGUGUGAAUUGGGAUGCUUCUGGGCGCUGUGAGGUUGGAGGAGAAGAAGGGAUCGAUGAUGGGGACUAGGGAGAGGGAUCAGUUCCCGGUCGGCAUGCGGGUCCUCGCGGUCGACGAUGACCCGGUGUGCCUCAAGGUUCUCGAGACCCUCCUGCGGCGCUGCCAAUACCAUGUAACAACAACCAACCAGGCCAUUACUGCGCUCAAGCUAUUACGGGAGAACAAGGAUAUGUUUGAUCUGGUUAUCAGUGACGUGCAUAUGCCCGACAUGGAUGGCUUUAAGCUCCUUGAGCUUGUAGGACUUGAAAUGGACCUCCCUGUCAUCAUGUUAUCCGUGAAUGGAGAGACAAAAUCCGUGAUGAAGGGGAUAACUCAUGGCGCCUGUGACUAUCUCCUAAAACCUGUUCGUAUCGAAGAGCUUAGGAAUAUAUGGCAGCAUGUUGUUAGGAGGAAGUUCAGUAAACGCGAAUGCAGUAAUCUUGAUAUCUACAAAGAAUUCAAUAAGCCACCAAUUGCAGAUUCAUGCCAUGGGCACAGUCAGAUUAUUGGGGCUCCUGACGAAAGUGGGAGGAUCAGCAAGAAGAGGAAGGAACUGCAUAGUGACGAGGAAGAUGACGGAGAGGAGAAUGAUUUUCAAGAUGGUGAUGAACCCUCAGCAGCCAAGAAGCCAAGAGUUGUUUGGUCAGUUGAACUGCAUCGGAAAUUUGUUGCGGCUGUCAACCAGCUUGGAAUUGAUAAAGCUGUACCAAAAAGAAUUCUUGAGCUUAUGAAUGUUGAGAAACUUACCAGAGAAAAUGUUGCGAGUCAUCUACAGAAAUACAGGCUCUACCUCAAACGUUUAAGUGCUGUGGCGUCACAGCAAGCUAGCAUUGUUGCUGCUCUUGGAGGUAGAGACCCCUCCUUUCUUCACAUGGGAGCAUUUGAAGGAUUUCACAGUUACCAACCUUUUUCCCUUCCUGCUGCUCUAUCAUCUUUCAACCCACACGGCUUGUUGGGUAGAAACAGCGCAACAGCAUUCCAGUUUCAGGAGCUUGCUCCUACCAAUACAAUUCAAACUGCUUCCAGCAAUUGCCCAAGAAGUCACUGUGCUGGUGAUACAAACAAAUUUCAGCUUGUUGGUUUACAAGAAAACCAACAAGCAAAUUUGGCACAAGGCUCGACCACAUCUCUCGGGCUGCCCCAACUCCAACAGAAGUGGAUCCAUCAAGAAAAUAAUGAGUUGUCCACUGUCUUUUCUGGGAGUGCACUGGCUAACACUAUGUCCAGUACACUACAAGGAGUUACAAGCAGUUCAUUGCUACCACAAGAACUUUUGGAAUGCACGCAAGUUAGUGUCCAGCCAUCAGUCAGGAUGCCAUCUGUGAGUUCAGAACUGCUUGAAAGGACUGUUGGAGUUUCGACUACUUUACGGGAUUCAAGUAUAUCCCAACAGGGUGGCCUUCCAAUAAAUGAUGGAUUUUCUAGUGACAAGUUACCAACGGACAAUCUGUUUGAGAGCACUGGUGCAACAAAAUUGGGUACUAGCUUUGUGGCUUCACAAAGAGAGAUAGACCAAAAUGGGAAAUUUUCAGUAAGCAGUAUCAGCGGCGGAGCUAGUUCUUCUGGCAGUACAUUGCUACUCCCUCCUUAUACCGAAAGACAUCCAAACUACAUGCAGUUCGGAGUUUCGAGCAAUGGAACUUUCAACCAUAAUGUUGGUGCCUGUAUGACUGAACAGAAAAAUUCAAGUGUGUCAUCUCUUAUGCCCCAAAUGAAGAUUCACACGUUAACAUCAGAAGAUAAACUGAAGCAGAAGAAUAUUCAUGAUUUGGGUAUUUCAAAGCUGAAUGGUGGUUUUAACUCUAGUAGCUGCAACUUUGACGGUCUCCUCAAUUCCAUGAUCAAAAUGGAGAAGGAUGAUAUCUCGUUCAUGGAUAAUGACCUGGGAUUUGACUUUUUUCCACUUGGUGCCUGCAUAUGAGAGCUAUUACUAUCUCUCUUGCAGAUUAGUCCUCUAGGGCAUUAGUCAGUUAUGCUGCCUAUGUCUAGUACUAUGCACUCUAGAUACUUGGGAUACAACUAGCUAAGGACAGUGGCUUGUACUUGUGCUUUCUCCUUUGGAAUGGAAAUGGAAGUGAUUAUGAUUAGAUGCUGGAGCUCAAACACCGCAUCAUUGUGUGGAAUGGAAAUGGAAGUGAUAACCUGAUGUUUGUCGCGCCCAGAAAUGCCAAAAACUGAAACUCCCACAUAACAGUUCUGGAAAGUUAGAAUGACAUAUAUGAGAAGUAAAAUCUGGAUACACCUGAGUUUAAGACUAAAGAGAUUAACUGCUGAUACAUGUGAUGGCACCAUUGUUUAGCUACUAAAGAUACAUGCUGUUGUUGGACCGAAUGGACUAAGAGAUUACAACUGCAAGCAAUGAUCUGAUAGAUGCUGUGAUCAUCAUCAUCCUACUCAAUAAAACCGCCCAUUUCUUGA